AUUGAUUCAAGAGGAGAGGUGUAAUUCCUUACCGGUGGUAUAGUCCACAACUCCCUAGCGGGACUGAUAUGGUGAAAUUCCAUAACCGACGGUGAUAGUCCGGAUGGUAUUCGAAUCAAG
rnacentral:ncRNA from 2 species